rnacentral:rRNA from 1 species
AGAGUUUGAUCCUGGCUCAGGAUGAACGCCGGCGGUGUGCCUAAUACAUGCAAGUCGAACGCGUUGGCCCGACUGAUUGAUGAUGCUUGCAUCAGAUUGACGACGGUUUACCAACGAGUGGCGGACGGGUGAGUAACACGUAGGCAACCUGCCCAGAAGCGGGGGACAACAUUUGGAAACAAGUGCUAAUACCGCAUAACAACGAAAACUGCCUGGUUUUCGUUUAAAAGAUGGUUUCGGCUAUCACUUCUGGAUGGGCCUGCGGCGCAUUAGCUAGUUGGUAAGGCAACGGCUUACCAAGGCAGUGAUGCGUAGCCGAGUUGAGAGACUGAUCGGCCACAAUGGAACUGAGACACGGUCCAAACUCCUACGGGAGGCAGCAGUGGGGAAUAUUGCACAAUGGGCGCAAGCCUGAUGCAGCGACGCCGCGUGAGUGAAGAAGGCUUUCGGGUCGUAAAACUCUGUUGUUGGAGAAGAAUGGUCGGCAGAGUAACUGUUGUCGGCGUGACGGUAUCCAACCAGAAAGCCACGGCUAACUACGUGCCAGCAGCCGCGGUAAUACGUAGGUGGCAAGCGUUAUCCGGAUUUAUUGGGCGUAAAGCGAGCGCAGGCGGUUUUUUAAGUCUGAUGUGAAAGCCCUCGGCUUAACCGAGGAAGUGCAUCGGAAACUGGGAAACUUGAGUGCAGAAAAGGACAGUGGAACUCCAUGUGUAGCGGUGAAAUGCGUAGAUAUAUGGAAGAACACCAGUGGCGAAGGCGGCUGUCUGGUCUGUAACUGACGCUGAGGCUCGAAAGCAUGGGUAGCGAACAGGAUUAGAUACCCUGGUAGUCCAUGCCGUAAACGAUGAAUGCUAGGUGUUGGAGGGUUUCCGCCCUUCAGUGCCGCAGCUAACGCAUUAAGCAUCCCGCCUGGGGAGUACGGCCGCAAGGCUAAAACUCAAAGAAAUUGACGGGGGCCCGCACAAGCGGCGGAGCAUGCGGAUUAAUUCGAUGCAACGCGAAGAACCUUACCAGGUCUUGACAUCUUGCGCCAACCUCAGAGAUGAGGCGUUCCCUUCGGGGACGCAAAGACAGGUGGUGCAUGGUCGUCGUCAGCUCGUGUCGUGAGAUGUUGGGUUAAGUCCCGCAACGAGCGCAACCCUUGUUACUAGUUGCCAGCAUUCAGUUGGGCACUCUAGUGAGACUGCCGGUGACAAACCGGAGGAAGGUGGGGACGACGUCAGAUCAUCAUGCCCCUUAUGACCUGGGCUACACACGUGCUACAAUGGACGGUACAACGAGCAGCGAACUCGCAAGGGCCAGCUAAUCUCUUAAAACCGUUCUCAGUUCGGACUGCAGUCUGCAACUCGACUGCACGAAGUCGGAAUCGCUAGUAAUCGCGGAUCAGCAUGCCGCGGUGAAUACGUUCCCGGGCCUUGUACACACCGCCCGUCACACCAUGGGAGUUUGCAAUGCCCAAAGCCGGUGGCCUAACCUUCGGGAAGGAGCCGUCUAAGGCAGGGCAGAUGACUGGGGUGAAGUCGUAACAAGGUAGCCGUAGGAGAACCUGCGGCUG